rnacentral:rRNA from 1 species
UUUUUAUGAGAGUUUGAUCCUGGCUCAGGACGAACGCUGGCGGCGUGCCUAAUACAUGCAAGUCGAACGCUUCUUUUUCCACCGGAGCUUGCUCCACCGGAAAAAGAGGAGUGGCGAACGGGUGAGUAACACGUGGGUAACCUGCCCAUCAGAAGGGGAUAACACUUGGAAACAGGUGCUAAUACCGUAUAACAAUCGAAACCGCAUGGUUUUGAUUUGAAAGGCGCUUUCGGGUGUCGCUGAUGGAUGGACCCGCGGUGCAUUAGCUAGUUGGUGAGGUAACGGCUCACCAAGGCCACGAUGCAUAGCCGACCUGAGAGGGUGAUCGGCCACAUUGGGACUGAGACACGGCCCAAACUCCUACGGGAGGCAGCAGUAGGGAAUCUUCGGCAAUGGACGAAAGUCUGACCGAGCAACGCCGCGUGAGUGAAGAAGGUUUUCGGAUCGUAAAACUCUGUUGUUAGAGAAGAACAAGGAUGAGAGUAACUGUUCAUCCCUUGACGGUAUCUAACCAGAAAGCCACGGCUAACUACGUGCCAGCAGCCGCGGUAAUACGUAGGUGGCAAGCGUUGUCCGGAUUUAUUGGGCGUAAAGCGAGCGCAGGCGGUUUCUUAAGUCUGAUGUGAAAGCCCCCGGCUCAACCGGGGAGGGUCAUUGGAAACUGGGAGACUUGAGUGCAGAAGAGGAGAGUGGAAUUCCAUGUGUAGCGGUGAAAUGCGUAGAUAUAUGGAGGAACACCAGUGGCGAAGGCGGCUCUCUGGUCUGUAACUGACGCUGAGGCUCGAAAGCGUGGGGAGCAAACAGGAUUAGAUACCCUGGUAGUCCACGCCGUAAACGAUGAGUGCUAAGUGUUGGAGGGUUUCCGCCCUUCAGUGCUGCAGCUAACGCAUUAAGCACUCCGCCUGGGGAGUACGACCGCAAGGUUGAAACUCAAAGGAAUUGACGGGGGCCCGCACAAGCGGUGGAGCAUGUGGUUUAAUUCGAAGCAACGCGAAGAACCUUACCAGGUCUUGACAUCCUUUGACCACUCUAGAGAUAGAGCUUCCCCUUCGGGGGCAAAGUGACAGGUGGUGCAUGGUUGUCGUCAGCUCGUGUCGUGAGAUGUUGGGUUAAGUCCCGCAACGAGCGCAACCCUUAUUGUUAGUUGCCAUCAUUCAGUUGGGCACUCUAGCAAGACUGCCGGUGACAAACCGGAGGAAGGUGGGGAUGACGUCAAAUCAUCAUGCCCCUUAUGACCUGGGCUACACACGUGCUACAAUGGGAAGUACAACGAGUGGCGAAGUCGCGAGGCUAAGCUAAUCUCUUAAAGCUUCUCUCAGUUCGGAUUGCAGGCUGCAACUCGCCUGCAUGAAGCCGGAAUCGCUAGUAAUCGCGGAUCAGCACGCCGCGGUGAAUACGUUCCCGGGCCUUGUACACACCGCCCGUCACACCACGAGAGUUUGUAACACCCGAAGUCGGUGAGGUAACCUUUUUGGAGCCAGCCGCCUAAGGUGGGAUAGAUGAUUGGGGUGAAGUCGUAACAAGGUAGCCGUAUCGGAAGGUGCGGCUGGAUCACCUCCUUUCUAAGGAA